GAAGUUGUGAGAGGGAGGGAUUAAAAUUAGGCAACUAUUUUACAAAACAAUACUUGCGUGUCACUUUGCUCAGUAAUGUCUUUUUAGCCAUGUGGAUUUUUAGUUCAUCAAGUCUAAUUCUCUUGUAUCCUUUAUUGCAGGCUACCUGUGUGAGUCACAUGUCAGUGCAAUUUCUGGAGGUCAAUUGUAGCCCUGAAGUCUCAGAACAAUGGCAAAAAGAAAUACGGAGGGCAUGAUACAUUUGUUUUAGUGGAACUUCCACAUCUUCAGGUGAGACCUCUAGACAGUAACCACCAAAUGAUUGUGAGAGGUGAAGCCAGCUGGA
ensembl:lncRNA LINC01239 long intergenic non-protein coding RNA 1239